AUACGGAGGGUGCAAGCGUUACUCGGAAUCACUGGGCGUAAAGCGCGCGCAGGCGGGCUGAUAAGUUGGAUGUGAAAGCCUACGGCUCAACCGUAGAACUGCAUCCAAAACUGUCAGUCUAGAGUGUGGGAGAGGAAGAUGGAAUUAGUUGUGUAGGGGUAAAAUCCGUAGAGAUAACUAGGAAUACCAAAAGCGAAGGCAAUCUUCUGGAACACUACUGACGCUCAGGCGCGAAGGCGUGGGGAGCAAACAGGAUUAGAAACCCUAGUAGUCC
rnacentral:rRNA from 1 species